CCUACGGGAGGCAGCAGUGAGGAAUAUUGGUCAAUGGACGAGAGUCUGAACCAGCCAAGUAGCGUGAAGGAUGACUGCCCUAUGGGUUGUAACCUUCUUUUAUAAAGGAAUAAAACGAGGCACGUGUGCCUUUUUGCAUGUACUUUAUGAAUAAGGAUCGGCUAACUCCGUGCCAUCAGCCGCGGUAAUACGGAGGAUCCGAGCGUUAUCCGGAUUUAUUGGGUUUAAAGUGAGCGUAGAUGGGUUGUUAAGUCAGUUGUGAAAGUUUGCGGCUCAACCGUAAAAUUGCAAUUGAUACUGGCAGUCUUGAGUACAGGUGAGGUAGGCGGAAUUCGAGGUGUAGGAGUGAAAUGCUUAGAUAUCACGAAGAACCCCGAUGGCGAAGGCAGCUUACUAAACUGUGACUGACAUUGAUGCGCGAAAGUGUGGGUAGCAAACAGGAUUAGAUACCCGAGUAGUC
rnacentral:rRNA from 1 species